rnacentral:rRNA from 1 species
UACGGAGGAUCCAAGCGUUAUCCGGAUUUAUUGGGUUUAAAGGGUGCGUAGGUGGCCUGGUAAGUCAGGGGUGAAAGACGGUAGCUUAACUAUCGCAGUGCCUUUGAUACUGCCGGGCUUGAAUGAACUAGAGGUAGGCGGAAUGUGGCAAGUAGCGGUGAAAAUGCAUAGAUAUGUCACAGAACACCGAUUGCGAAGGCAGCUUACUAUGGUUUUUAUUGACACUGAGGCACGAAAGCGUGGGGAUCAAACAGG